UGGUUCGAGCAUCGAUGAAGAACGCAGCGAAAUGCGAUAAUUAAUGUGAAUUGCAGAAUCCAGUGAAUCAUCGAGUUUUUGAACGCACAUUGCACCUUUUGGUAUUCCGAGAGGUAUGCUUGUUUGAGCGUCACUACAUCUUCGGUCCGCCGGUUUUGUAUCCCCGACGGGGGUAUCAAAUGUAUGACACAGUUGUGAGCAGUAACUUUUCCUCUCAACUGACUCUCUCCUUGACCUCAAAUCAAGCAAGAUUACCCGCUGA
rnacentral:misc_RNA from 1 species